rnacentral:rRNA from 1 species
AUUGAACGCUGGCGGCAGGCCUAACACAUGCAAGUCGAGCGAGCGGCGGACGGGUGAGUAAUGUAUGGGGCCUGCCCUAUAGAGGGGGAUACCUACUGGAAACGGUGGCUAAUACCGCAUACUAUCGGAUAACCCAUAUGGGAUUAGCUAGUAGGUGGGGUAAAGGCGCACCUAGGCGACGAUCUCUAGCUGGUCUGAGAGGAUGAUCAGCCACACUGGGACUGAGACACGGCCCAGACUCCUACGGAGGCAGCAGUGGGGAAUAUUGCACAAUGGGCGAAAGCCGGAUGCAGCCAUGCCGCGUGUAUGAAGAAGUCCUUAGGGUUGUAAAGUACUUUCAGCGGGGAGGCGUUACUCGCAGAAGAAGCACCGGCUAACUCCGUGCCAGCAGCCGCGGUAAUUC